rnacentral:lncRNA from 1 species
CACACACCAGCUCUUAGAGGGGUCUCCCUUCCCUGUAAUGAGGCUGAAGUGGCCUCUGGCCACCAGCCCCUCUCUGAUGCUAUUUCAUCUCGUUCCUGUGGCACCUACCGUGGCCUGAAAUGAUCUUGCUUGUGUAUGUGAUUAUAGUUUUCUAUCUGUUCUCAAGGGCAGAAACCAUUGCUGGUUACGGUCACUGCUCCAUGCCUAGUGCCUGGCACCGAGAAGACCUUUGAUAUCCAUUUGUGGGCAUGACACUCACCCUGUCCCUGAGAGCUGGGCCCAAGGAAGGAGCAGGACCCCCUCCACUUUGUAGUCCAUGCCACAAUUACUCUGCGGCUACUUUGCAUCUGCCCUGUGUGAUCUUGAGUCCCCAGCAACUUUACAGAGCACGAAGAGACAGAGGAAUUGGGGCCUUCUCCAUGCAGGUCGCCCUUUUCAACUAUUUUCCUGUCUGCCCCGCCGACGCGUCCGCUGCCGGAGCACCCCCCUGGCUGCGAGAACCUCCUCUCUCUGACUUCCCGCCUUCCUGCUGCGACCCCAGUUCCGCCCCUCUCCAGCACCCUCGGCCGCCAGCGCCUAAGCUCUCUGCGGCCACCAGGGGGCGCCCGCGGCCAAGUCUGGGCGCGGGAGACGCCGAGCGCCCACCCCGUUCCUCCUGGUGCCCCUCCCCGUCCGGCCGCGGCCCCGCCCCUCCCGGCGCCCCGCCCUGUCCGGCAGCGGCCUCUCCACCUCUGAUCCCCCCGUGCCCGGGACCCCCGGCCCCACUGUUGCGCCAGCUCGUCGGGUCCGGCCAUGGGCCCCG